ensembl:snoRNA Gm22952 predicted gene, 22952
ACCUGGGUUUGGAUUUAUGGCAGGCCUGACUCAGCGUUAGUGUCCCUUGCUAGAACAAACCUGCCCUCAGCAGCCUGCCUCUGCCUGUAAGGCACUGGCACUGAGAUGGGUUACACGUUG